rnacentral:rRNA from 1 species
CCCGCCUGCCCGGUGACUCUGGGUUAAACGGCCGCGGUAUUUUAACCGUGCGAAGGUAGCGCAAUCACUUGUCCUUUAAAUGAAGACCUGUAUGAAUGGCUAGACGAGGGCUUGACUGUCUCCUCUCCCCAGUCAGUGAAAUUGAUCUCCCCGUGCAGAAGCGGGGAUUGUAGCAUAAGACGAGAAGACCCUAUGGAGCUUUAGACACUAGACAACCCACGUCAAACACCCUUAGUCUGCUAGGAGAGAACAUUGUGGCCCUUGUCUCACCUGUCUUCGGUUGGGGCGACCGCGGAGGACAAAAAGCCUCCAUGUGGACUGAAGUAACUACCCUUCACAGCUCARAGCCGCGGCUCUACGCAACARAAAUUCUGACCAAAAAUGAUCCGGCACAUGCCGAUUAACGGAACAAGUUACCCUAGGGAUAACAGCGCAAUCCUCUCCCAGAGUCCCUAUCGACGAGAGGGUUUACGACCUCGAUGUUGGAUCAGGACAUCCUAUUGGUGCAGCCGCUAAUAAGGGUUCGUUUGUUCAACGAUUAAAGUCCUACGUGAUCUG